UGACUCUAGAUCUGGCGGGACUACCCGUUGUGUUUAAACAUAUUAAUAAGUGGAGGAAGAGAAAUUCACAUGGAUUCCCAUAGUAAUGAUGACUGAAUCGAGAGAAGUCUAGCUUGAGAAUCUACCAUCAUCGACGUCCAAAUUGAAGUCUGAAGAAGCAUCCUCAGUGACGGAUCGAGCACAAUUCCCCUUGAAGGGGGCGCUAGAGACAAUGAGAGCCUCGUUGCGCUCGAACUUUGUUGUACAUGUGGCAUUGUUAACGAGUUGGGUUGUUUGGGAAUACAGCUACAAUAGUUGAAUGUGGAACGGUGAUGAGCCAGUCUGCCAAUUUACUUGCGGCAUGGACCGAUGCGGAAUGAGAUAGCAGCCCUUGGUACACUUGUGGAGACGUCGUCGUCUUGAUUGUGGAUGGUAGCACACGCCUUCUGACGUGCACACACUCCUAGCAUCGACCUGUGGGCUCCUCAUUCGACCAGUCUUGAAAGAUGGACGAAGCAAUCUGACAUAUGUUCAAGUGAAGGGGCGAGUAAACCUGUAAGGAGCAAGGAAGUUUACUGGUGGGAUGCCCUAGUAAGUUGCACCACCGACCGACCUUGAUCUUCUUAGAAGGGUUCAAGUGUGAGCAUGUUUGUCAGGAUUCAAAAGAUGUGGGGCGAAGCCAAAGGAAACUAUGAUGGAAGUCAGUAGAGAUGCUAACGUGCAAAUCAUUUGUCUAACUUGGGUAAAAGACUAAUCAAACGCCCUUGACCUAUUCUCAAAACAUAAACAGGUAGGAUGGGUGGUUGCUUUGUUUAGCCAUACCAUGUGACCGAGAGCUCUAAGUUGGCUAUUUUUUGGGAAGCAGAACUUGCGAUAUGAGAUCAAUCUAGGUUACGGUGCCUAAGUGUGUACUAACCUAGAUCCCACAAAGGGUGUUGGUCGAUUAAAACAACAAGACGGUGGUCAUGAAAGUCAAAAUCUGCUAAGGAGUGUGUAACAACACAUCUGCCGAAUCAACUAGCCCUAUAAAUGGAUGGCACUGAAGCAUGCGACCUAUACCCGAUUGUCGGGGCAAGAGCAAGCCCCCGAUUAGUAGGAGGGUGCAAUGGUCGCUGCAAAACCUAUCUAAUAGUACAAUAGCCCAACCUUCGAAAGGGAAUCUGGUUAAAAUUCCUAAAUUGGGACGUGGUAACCAAUGUUAACCAAGGGGCCUUUCCUGGGCUCAAAUAGUCAACUCAAAAUUGGUAUAAAGAAGGAGAAUCCAACUAUUUAAUUAAAACAAACAUUGUGAUGGUUCUUACGGAUGCUAACACAAUGUGAUUUUUGCCUCGUGCUCUGAAUGCUAAAGUGAAUAAAUUCAACCAAGCGUAGGUAAACGGCGAGAGUAACUAUGACUCUUUUAAGGUAGCCAAAUGCCUCUCAUCUAAUGAGUGACGUUUAUGAAUGGAUCCAUUAUCUCUAUCUACUAUCCAGAGAAACCACAACCAAGGGAACGAGCUUGGUGGAAUGAGCGGGGAAAGAAGACUCUCUUGUGCUUGGCUCUUGUCCAAGUUUGUGAAAUGACUUGAGACGUGUAAGAUAAGUAGGAGUCGAAAGGCGAAAGUGAAAUACCACUACUUUUAACAUUAUUUUACUUAUUCCUUGAGACGGGAGAAGGUAAUGCCCCUCUUUUUAACUUAGAAUUUAGUUCUUAUAUUUAACUUAGGUUUUGUGAAGAAAAAAAUGCUUGUUCUUCUUUUUUUAAAAAAAAAAACUGUACAAUCAAAAUCCCAAUCUGGAUAUAACCUAUGUUAAACAAAUAAAAGAGGUGUGAUAGUGUGCUACUUGGCACAAAAUUUGUUGGUGAAACAUACAAGGUUAAAAGUUAAGGAAAAAACACCAAAAAAUUGUCAAUAGUGCUAAACUAUUAGAAAAAAUACUUGAAUGCUACAAAAAGAAAAAACAAUCAAUAAAAAAAUAAGGGAGAGCAAGUUAAGAAGAAAAAAAAAUUAAAAGUAAAAAAGAAAAGGAGAUAUGAAAAAAUAUAGACUUAACUCCCCUAUUUCUAGUGACAACUUUCAUAAUCCUAGUUUGACUU
rnacentral:ncRNA from 1 species